UGCGCAGGCGGGAAAUUAAGUCAGUGGUGAAAUCCUGCAGCUUAACUGUAGAAUUGCCAUUGAAACUGACUUUCUUGAGUACAGUUGAGGUGGGCGGAAUGUGUAAUGUAGCGGUGAAAUGCUUAGAUAUUACACAGAACACCGAUUGCGUAGGCAGCUCACUAAACUGUUACUGACGCUCAGGCACGAAAGCGUGGGGAGCGAACAGGAUUAGAUACCCUGGUAGUCC
rnacentral:rRNA from 1 species